AGUCUUUUUAAACAAGCCCUUAAGGGGAUUUGCAGCACAGGCAAGUUUGGGAGCCAGUGCUUUGACGAAAGUGUUUUGCACAAGAAAUGUGUCACAAAGCAAACUGUAGAAGAACAGUUAGUUAUUAGAUGCUGUCUGUUCAAAGGCCUGCUUGGUUCUCAAUCAACUUGAGAAGAUAGACUGUACUGUUUGGGUGCAGCCUUCAGGUUCUUGGCUCUCUGCAUUCCAAAGCAGUUCCAGAAAGGAAUCGAAGUAGCUGUUGACAGAUUCAAAGCUGCCCCGGAUGUGCCGAAGGCCCCAGUCUGAAUAGGACUCCUCUGCGUCAGGGCUGGUGUCACUCUGAGCCAGGCCACCAGCCAGGCUGAGCCACAAAAUCAAGAAGCUGAUGGCCCGCGUCAUCCUGUAGCCAGUGCUGCAUCAACUUAUCUUCCCACCAACAGUGCAAGAGGAUUCUUUUUCUCCGCAUCCUC